GCGGUCGUAUUACGAAGCUAUACAGUCCCCCUCCUUGAUACAGAAACUGUAACAGGUUCGUAAAAAGAAGUUUUAUAGUAAAUUGUUUUCGACCAUACGGACCCUCACUGUUAUUUUUCUACUCCCCCGUAUGGAAUACUACCAAAGCACAGGUCUCAGAAUAGCGGUGUACACACUGAUUGCUUCGGUCAUCUGCAACUACGUCCAGACCGGGAGCCCAGCGGACGCCGAGCGACGUCCAUCGUGCGAUGAGGGCGCGACGCACACACCUGCUAUUAUACCCCGGCGCCUCUACUCCUACUCUCCGGAGCACGAUCCGAUUGGUCGGCUCCUCUCCU